rnacentral:rRNA from 1 species
CACGUAGGGCGCGAGCGUUGUCCGGAAUUAUUGGGCGUAAAGAGCUCGUAGGCGGCCUGUUGCGUCCGCUGUGAAAGCCCGGGGCUUAACCCCGGGUCUGCAGUGGAUACGGGCAGGCUAGAGGUAGGUAGGGGAGAAUGGAAUUCCCGGUGUAGCGGUGAAAUGCGCAGAGUAUCGGGGAGGAACACCGGUGGCGAAGGCGGUUCUCUGGGCCUUACCUGACGCUGAGGAGCGAAAGCGUGGGGAGCGAACAGG